rnacentral:rRNA from 1 species
CGGGACGGGUGAGUAAUGUCUGGGAAACUGCCUGAUGGAGGGGGAUAACUACUGGAAACGGUAGCUAAUACCGCAUAACGUCGCAAGACCAAAGAGGGGGACCUUCGGGCCUCUUGCCAUCGGAUGUGCCCAGAUGGGAUUAGCUAGUGGGUGGGGUAACGGCUCACCUAGGCGACGAUCCCUAGCUGGUCUGAGAGGAUGACCAGCCACACUGGAACUGAGACACGGUCCAG